GACAGAGGAGCCAAGCGUUGUCCGGACUGACUGGGCGUAAAGCGCCCGCAGGCGGCCGUGCGCGUGGGGUGUGAAAGCUCGCGGCUUAACUGCGAGAGGCCAUCCCAUACGGCACGGCUCGAGCCGUCCAGAGGCCGGUGGAAUUGCCGGUGUAGUGGUGAAAUGCGUAGAGAUCGGCAGGAACACCAGGGGGAAACGAGCCGGCUGGGGACCGAGGCCGCUGACUGACAGGGGCGAACGGUGGGGAAGCCGACGGGGGAUAAGACCCGUAA
rnacentral:rRNA from 1 species